UCAGGAUGAACGCUGGCGGCGUGCCUAAUACAUGCAAGUCGAGCGAUGAGGCUCCUUCGGGAGUACAUCAGCGGCGAACGGGUGAGUAACACGUGGGUGACUUGCCCCGAAGAUGGGGAUAACCUCUGGAAACGGGGGCUAAUACCCAAUGUGCUCGGUGAUUCGGUUCAUCGAGUAAAGCUCCGGCGCUUCGGGAGAGGCCUGCGGCCCAUCAGCUAGUUGGUAGGGUAACGGCCUACCAAGGCAGAGACGGGUAGGGGGCGUGAGAGCGCGGACCCCCACACUGGCACUGAGAUACGGGCCAGACUCCUACGGGAGGCAGCAGUAAGGGAUAUUGCGCAAUGGACGAAAGUCAGACGCACCGACGCCACGUGGGCGAUGAAGGCCUUCGGGUUGUAAAGCCCUUUUAUGGGGGAAGAGAAAAAGGACGGUACCCCACGAAUAAUUCCCGGCUAACUACGUGCCUGCAGCCGCGGUAAAACGUAGGGGACAAGCGUUUAUCCGGAUUUUACUGGGCGUAAAGAGCGUUGAGGCGGUUCCUUAAGUUGGGCGUGAAAGCUCCGGGCUUAACUCUGAUAUGUCGUUCUAUACUGCUGGGCUUUGAGGACAGCAGAGGAAGGUGGAAAUUCCCGGUGUAGUGGUGAAAUGCGAAGAUAUCGGGAGGAUCACCCGUUGGUGAACGCGGGCUUCUGGGCUGGUCCUGACGCUAA
rnacentral:rRNA from 1 species